GAUCAUGGCUCAGAUUGAACGCUGGCGGCAGGCCUAACACAUGCAAGUCGAGCGGUAGCACAGAGGAGCUUGCUCCUCGGGUGACGAGCGGCGGACGGGUGAGUAAUGUCUGGGAAACUGCCUGAUGGAGGGGGAUAACUACUGGAAACGGUAGCUAAUACCGCAUAACGUCGCAAGACCAAAGAGGGGGACCUUCGGGCCUCUUGCCAUCAGAUGUGCCCAGAUGGGAUUAGCUAGUAGGUGGGGUAACGGCUCACCUAGGCGACGAUCCCUAGCUGGUCUGAGAGGAUGACCAGCCACACUGGAACUGAGACACGGUCCAGACUCCUACGGGAGGCAGCAGUGGGGAAUAUUGCACAAUGGGCGCAAGCCUGAUGCAGCCAUGCCGCGUGUAUGAAGAAGGCCUUCGGGUUGUAAAGUACUUUCAGCGGGGAGGAAGGUGUUGAGGUUAAUAACCUCAGCAAUUGACGUUACCCGCAGAAGAAGCACCGGCUAACUCCGUGCCAGCAGCCGCGGUAAUACGGAGGGUGCAAGCGUUAAUCGGAAUUACUGGGCGUAAAGCGCACGCAGGCGGUCUGUCAAGUCGGAUGUGAAAUCCCCGGGCUCAACCUGGGAACUGCAUUCGAAACUGGCAGGCUAGAGUCUUGUAGAGGGGGGUAGAAUUCCAGGUGUAGCGGUGAAAUGCGUAGAGAUCUGGAGGAAUACCGGUGGCGAAGGCGGCCCCCUGGACAAAGACUGACGCUCAGGUGCGAAAGCGUGGGGAGCAAACAGGAUUAGAUACCCUGGUAGUCCACGCCGUAAACGAUGUCGACUUGGAGGUUGUGCCCUUGAGGCGUGGCUUCCGGAGCUAACGCGUUAAGUCGACCGCCUGGGGAGUACGGCCGCAAGGUUAAAACUCAAAUGAAUUGACGGGGGCCCGCACAAGCGGUGGAGCAUGUGGUUUAAUUCGAUGCAACGCGAAGAACCUUACCUACUCUUGACAUCCAGAGAACUUUCCAGAGAUGGAUUGGUGCCUUCGGGAACUCUGAGACAGGUGCUGCAUGGCUGUCGUCAGCUCGUGUUGUGAAAUGUUGGGUUAAGUCCCGCAACGAGCGCAACCCUUAUCCUUUGUUGCCAGCGGUUAGGCCGGGAACUCAAAGGAGACUGCCAGUGAUAAACUGGAGGAAGGUGGGGAUGACGUCAAGUCAUCAUGGCCCUUACGAGUAGGGCUACACACGUGCUACAAUGGCGCAUACAAAGAGAAGCGACCUCGCGAGAGCAAGCGGACCUCAUAAAGUGCGUCGUAGUCCGGAUUGGAGUCUGCAACUCGACUCCAUGAAGUCGGAAUCGCUAGUAAUCGUAGAUCAGAAUGCUACGGUGAAUACGUUCCCGGGCCUUGUACACACCGCCCGUCACACCAUGGGAGUGGGUUGCAAAAGAAGUAGGUAGCUUAACCUUCGGGAGGGCGCUUACCACUUUGUGAUUCAUGACUGGGGUGAAGUCGUAACAAGGUAACC
rnacentral:rRNA from 1 species